GUUACCCUACGGGGCGCAGCAGUGGGGAAUAUUGCACAAUGGGGGAAACCCUGAUGCAGCAACGCCGCGUGAAGGAAGACGGUUUUCGGAUUGUAAACUUCUGUUCUUAGUGAAGAAUAAUGACGGUAGCUAAGGAGCAAGCCACGGCUAACUACGUGCCAGCAGCCGCGGUAAUACGUAGGUGGCAAGCGUUAUCCGGAUUUAUUGGGUGUAAAGAGUGCGUAGACGGGAAAUUAAGUUAGUUGUGAAAUCCCUCGGCUUAACUGAGGAACUGCAACUAAAACUGGUUUUCUUGAGUACUGGAG
rnacentral:rRNA from 1 species